AGAGUUUGAUCAUGGCUCAGAUUGAACGCUGGCGGCAGGCCUAACACAUGCAAGUCGAACGGUAACAGGAAGCAGCUUGCUGCUUUGCUGACGAGUGGCGGACGGGUGAGUAAUGUCUGGGAAACUGCCCGAUGGAGGGGGAUAACUACUGGAAACGGUAGCUAAUACCGCAUAACGUCGCAAGACCAAAGAGGGGGACCUUAGGGCCUCUUGCCAUCGGAUGUGCCCAGAUGGGAUUAGCUAGUAGGUGGGGUAACGGCUCACCUAGGCGACGAUCCCUAGCUGGUCUGAGAGGAUGACCAGCCACACUGGAACUGAGACACGGUCCAGACUCCUACGGGAGGCAGCAGUGGGGAAUAUUGCACAAUGGGCGCAAGCCUGAUGCAGCCAUGCCGCGUGUAUGAAGAAGGCCUUCGGGUUGUAAAGUACUUUCAGCGGGGAGGAAGGGAGUAAAGUUAAUACCUUUGCUCAUUGACGUUACCCGCAGAAGAAGCACCGGCUAACUCCGUGCCAGCAGCCGCGGUAAUACGGAGGGUGCAAGCGUUAAUCGGAAUUACUGGGCGUAAAGCGCACGCAGGCGGUUUGUUAAGUCAGAUGUGAAAUCCCCGGGCUCAACCUGGGAACUGCAUCUGAUACUGGCAAGCUUGAGUCUCGUAGAGGGGGGUAGAAUUCCAGGUGUAGCGGUGAAAUGCGUAGAGAUCUGGAGGAAUACCGGUGGCGAAGGCGGCCCCCUGGACGAAGACUGACGCUCAGGUGCGAAAGCGUGGGGAGCAAACAGGAUUAGAUACCCUGGUAGUCCACGCCGUAAACGAUGUCGACUUGGAGGUUGUGCCCUUGAGGCGUGGCUUCCGGAGCUAACGCGUUAAGUCGACCGCCUGGGGAGUACGGCCGCAAGGUUAAAACUCAAAUGAAUUGACGGGGGCCCGCACAAGCGGUGGAGCAUGUGGUUUAAUUCGAUGCAACGCGAAGAACCUUACCUGGUCUUGACAUCCACGGAAGUUUUCAGAGAUGAGAAUGUGCCUUCGGGAACCGUGAGACAGGUGCUGCAUGGCUGUCGUCAGCUCGUGUUGUGAAAUGUUGGGUUAAGUCCCGCAACGAGCGCAACCCUUAUCCUUUGUUGCCAGCGGUCCGGCCGGGAACUCAAAGGAGACUGCCAGUGAUAAACUGGAGGAAGGUGGGGAUGACGUCAAGUCAUCAUGGCCCUUACGACCAGGGCUACACACGUGCUACAAUGGCGCAUACAAAGAGAAGCGACCUCGCGAGAGCAAGCGGAUCUCAUAAAGUGCGUCGUAGUCCGGAUUGGAGUCUGCAACUCGACUCCAUGAAGUCGGAAUCGCUAGUAAUCGUGGAUCAGAAUGCCACGGUGAAUACGUUCCCGGGCCUUGUACACACCGCCCGUCACACCAUGGGAGUGGGUUGCAAAAGAAGUAGGUAGCUUAACCUUCGGGAGGGCGCUUACCACUUUGUGAUUCAUGACUGGGGUGAAGUCGUAACAAGGUAACCGUAGGGGAACCUGCGGUUGGAUCACCU
rnacentral:rRNA from 1 species